GACGAACCGUGCGAACGUUGUUCGGAAUCACUGGGCUUAAAGGGCGCGUAGGCGGGUUGUCAAGUCGGGGGUGAAAUCGUUCGGCCCAACCGGACAAGGGCCCCCGAUACUGGCAGUCUUGAGGGAGGUAGGGGUUGGUGGAACUUCCGGUGGAGCGGUGAAAUGCGUAGAUAUCGGAAGGAACGCCGGUGGCGAAAGCGGCCAACUGGACCUCUUCUGACGCUGAGGCGCGAAAGCUAGGGUAGCGAACGGG
rnacentral:rRNA from 1 species